UCUGAGACGUACUUCCGCCUUAGCCGUUAUACUGCUCGGACGCUUCCGGGUUGCUUCUGGUCUGCGUAGCUGAGCGUCCACAAAUGUUUUACUGUUUAAAUCUGUGGUUUAAAUAUGAGUCGACGGAAGAUUUUCAAAACGGAGCAUUUGCAAAGACAAGUGUAGAACUACUCCGAGCACUGCUGUGUCCCACUUUGUACGGCGUCAGCUAAAUUCAACGGCGUCCUAAGUUUCCAUGGCUUUCCGACCGAACUCGAGCUGCAAAGACAGUGGCUGGUUAAAAUACGACGCGAUAACUUUACAAUCUCCUCUCACUCCAAGGUCUGCAGUCGUCACUUCGCUACGGAUCUGCAGAAGCAACUGCAGGAGUUAAGAGUCCAGCGAGAGUUUUGCUUACAGCGGUUUGCUGGCUCCGACGACAACAUCCGAUUCUAUACCAGAUUCCCGAGCUAUAACCACCUGAUGGCCUUCUGGUUUUUGAUUGAGGCUUCCAUUUAUAAAAUGGUUCGUGUUACAAGAGACCCUAUCAGCUGCCAAGAGGAAUGAAGAAGUGGUUACACACGCACGUCCAUCAACGAGACAGCUGCUUCAGCCAAUUGACGAGUUCUUCCUUUUUCUCUGCUUCCUGUAGGUGGGUUUGAAAAAGAGGGACCUUGCAAACCACUUCAACGUACACCAGUCCACUGUGAGCCGCAUCAUUGCAACAUGGACGAGUUUUCUUACAACUUUAUUGGGGUCACAGUGCAUCUGGCUUACACCUGCAGAAGUUCAAGCCCAUCUCCCAGAGGCAUUCAAAGAUUUCCCAGACACACAGGUGAUCCUGGAUUGCACAGAGCUGAGGUGUCAAACACCAUCCUCACUCCUCCUUCAAAGUGAAAUGUAUUCUACAUACAAAUCUCACUGCACCAUGAAAGCCCUGGUUGGCAUAGCCCCACAUGGCGCAGUGACAUUUGUUUCCAGUCUGUAUGGUGGUUCUGUCAGCGACAAGGAGAUUUUCAAACAAUCUGGAAUAGCUGCGUUCUUGACUGAAAACAUGGCAGUGAUGGUAGAUAAGGGCUUCCUGAUCAGCGAUUGCUGCAAAUGCAAAGUGUACUGCCCACCUUUUCUGUCAAAGCAGAAGCAAAUGCCAGCCUAUCAGGUGAGGGAGACACAGGCCAUUGCCAGACUGAGGGUUCAUGUGGAGCGUGUCAUUAGGAGGAUAAAAGAGAACAAACUUUUUGAUGGUAUCAUCCUCCUGUCCCAUGCCUACAACAUCAACCAACUGUUUGCAGUAGCAUGUAUGCUGUCAAACUAUCAGAACAAAGCACUGGUCAAGAAAUGGGUGAAAUAAGACAAGAUGAUGACACCUGUGCAGGUAGCUGUGAUUAAGCUGGGUGAGCACACCGUAAUCCCGUGUUGCCUGACACACGCUAGUGUUUUGUUUGAAUAAAUGGUAAAUAGCAAAUUA